CAGUUGAAAUAGAAAAAUCCCGUAGGUCUCUUCUUCCGCAAACACCCAUUUUCACCCAAAUCUUCAAACCACCAUAUCUCUUUCGUUUCUUAACGGAAUUGAGCGAUUCUCGCGGCCACGGGACGAGGAAAGGAUCCUCUACUUGAUUAUGGCUUAAAUUUGAGGUGAUAUGGAGCUUGGAAUGGGUGAUAUGGAAGGUGAAAUUGAGCUUGGACCUUAGGCUUUGACUCUCCAUCAAGACUCGGCGAGGCGAAUACCAACGGAACUUGGAACGUAAAGGACGCGGCAUCCCUUUGCUAUUAUCGAAGUUUAUGGAUAGCAAGCGGUG